CUCCAAUUUAAAUUAAACCUUUUCUGAUUACUGAGGAAAAGUUGCGGUUUAAAAUCGGUUACAGGCUUACAGCUGGCAGCCGUCAGAGCAACACGUUCACAAAAUGUCGAAGCUUUCUCUCUCAUCCUCGUCUCCUCCUCCGUUGACGUCGUCUUCUUCCACUUCGCAGCAGCGGCGGAGUUGCUUCCGUCGUUCAUUCAGAGUCGGCGCGUGUGUUUCACUUUCUUCGGUUUCCAUUUCGUGUUCGAAGCAGCCGAAAGUUGUUGUCACCAGAGAACGCGGCAAGAACGGCAAGCUCAUGAAUUCUCUGGCCAGACAUGGAAUUGAUUGUCUUGAGCUUCCUCUCAUUCAGCACAUGCAUUUACCUGAUCUAGGCAGGCUCACUUCUGUAUUAAGUGACGCCACGUUUGACUGGAUUAUCAUUACUUCACCAGAGGCGGGAAAGGUUUUUCUUGAUGCUUGGAAAGCUGCUGGGACCCCAUCUGUCCGAGUAGGUGUCGUUGGACCUGGUACAGCUAGCAUAUUCGAUGAAGCUGUUCAGUCUUCAAAGCAGUAUCUUGAUGUGGCAUUUACACCAUCAAAGGCAACUGGUAAGGUUUUAGCUUCAGAGCUUCCAAAGAAUGGGAAUGAUAAGUGCACUGUUCUCUAUCCUGCUUCAGCAAAAGCGGGCACUGACAUUGAGGAAGGACUUUCUGAGCGGGGAUUCGAGGUUACUCGGUUGAACACAUACACAACGGCACCAGUCAAUCAGGUUGAUCAAUAUCUUCUUGAGCUGGCACUCUCUGCUCCUGUUGUUGCUGUAGCAUCUCCCUCUGCCAUCCGGGUAUGGACUAAUCUUAUUCCAGCAUCGAGUCAGUGGGACAAUGCUGUUGCAUGUAUUGGGGAGACUACAGCUUCUGCAGCUAAAAGACUUGGGUUGAGAAAUAUAUACUAUCCAACAAGUCCUGGUCUUGAAGGGUGGGUGAGUAGCAUUCUGGAAGCGUUAAGUGUAAAUGAGCAAGUACAGAAGGUCUAAAGGCCGUGUAAUGUGGCUUCUGCUUCAACGUGGUGCUGUAUUUUGAAAUAUUUGAAGUAUUUAUGCAUAGAAGCGUGGAGGGAGGUGUAGGAUCUAAUUGACACAGCAUAUGAGGAGACGUUGGGGAGACGUAAAGUUUUUGUUGUGCGGAGGUAUUUACCCACUUGUCUAGCCAACAUUUCUUGUGAGAAUUGACUAUAAAGCGAGCCCCUCUUGGUUCAUACUCCAACCUAAAUUUCCUCAAAAGAGAAACAUCAAACCUUGAGCUAGAUAUAUUUAUCUCAAUUUUAGCCAUUCCUCGUAAUGCACAAUGUGUUGAUUUUUGUAAUCGUUUACUUCAAGUACUCGAGUCUUGUGCUCCAUUUGUAAAUAUCUGCAUGGAUUACUCUGGCAGUUUGUAAUAUUUCAGUGUAUUAUUCCAAGGAAUCAACUGAAAAGUACGGUAACAUAACAGCUCUAUGGAGGGCUCUCUCAUCCAAACAUCUGCAGAGAUUACCAUCUUAUGCUGUAGAUGCCGAGUUCUUUACGGUUCAAUCAUAGAGGUGUGUGAGACUCUUGUUCCGGUGAAUACCGCCUAUAUCUCGUGAUUGCUUUGUAGGUUGGCGUUCGUAGUAGUUUUUAUUCAGUCUGCUUUUUAUGGUUUUGCGUGACAUGUUUUUUUCCAUGAGUAUAUUAAGUUUCCUCACGCCAGUAGUUAGAUGGUAA